ACUCAUGACUGACCGAUAGUGAACCAGUACCGUGAGGGAAAUGCGAAAAGAACCCCGGCGAGGGGAGUGAAAAAGAACCUGAAACCGUGUACGUACAAGCAGUGGGAGCCUCUUUAUGGGGUGACUGCGUACCUUUUGUAUAAUGGGUCAGCGACUUAUAUUCUGUAGCAAGGUUAACCGAAUAGGGGAGCCGAAGGGAAACCGAGUCUUAACUGGGCGUUAAGUUGCAGGGUAUAGACCCGAAACCCGGUGAUCUAGCCAUGGGCAGGUUGAAGGUUGGGUAACACUAACUGGAGGACCGAACCGACUAAUGUUGAAAAAUUAGCGGAUGACUUGUGGCUGGGGGUGAAAGGCCAAUCAAACCGGGAGAUAGCUGGUUCUCCCCGAAAGCUAUUUAGGUAGCGCCUCGUGAAUUCAUCUCCGGGGGUAGAGCACUGUUUCGGCAAGGGGGUCAUCCCGACUUACCAACCCGAUGCAAACUGCGAAUACCGGAGAAUGUUAUCACGGGAGACACACGGCGGGUGCUAACGUCCGUCGUGAAGAGGGAAACAACCCAGACCGCCAGCUAAGGUCCCAAAGUCAUGGUUAAGUGGGAAACGAUGUGGGAAGGCCCAGACAGCCAGGAUGUUGGCUUAGAAGCAGCCAUCAUUUAAAGAAAGCGUAAUAGCUCACUGGUCGA
rnacentral:rRNA from 1 species